UUGAACGCUGGCGGCAGGCUUAACACAUGCAAGUCGAGCGGAGAUGAGGUGCUUGCACCUUAUCUUAGCGGCGGACGGGUGAGUAAUGCUUAGGAAUCUGCCUAUUAGUGGGGGACAACAUUCCGAAAGGAAUGCUAAUACCGCAUACGUCCUACGGGAGAAAGCAGGGGAUCUUCGGACCUUGCGCUAAUAGAUGAGCCUAAGUCGGAUUAGCUAGUUGGUGGGGUAAAGGCCUACCAAGGCGACGAUCUGUAGCGGGUCUGAGAGGAUGAUCCGCCACACUGGGACUGAGACACGGCCCAGACUCCUACGGGAGGCAGCAGUGGGGAAUAUUGGACAAUGGGGGGAACCCUGAUCCAGCCAUGCCGCGUGUGUGAAGAAGGCCUUAUGGUUGUAAAGCACUUUAAGCGAGGAGGAGGCUACUGAGACUAAUACUCUUGGAUAGUGGACGUUACUCGCAGAAUAAGCACCGGCUAACUCUGUGCCAGCAGCCGCGGUAAUACAGAGGGUGCGAGCGUUAAUCGGAUUUACUGGGCGUAAAGCGUGCGUAGGCGGCUUUUUAAGUCGGAUGUGAAAUCCCCGAGCUUAACUUGGGAAUUGCAUUCGAUACUGGGAGGCUAGAGUAUGGGAGAGGAUGGUAGAAUUCCAGGUGUAGCGGUGAAAUGCGUAGAGAUCUGGAGGAAUACCGAUGGCGAAGGCAGCCAUCUGGCCUAAUACUGACGCUGAGGUACGAAAGCAUGGGAGCAAACAGG
rnacentral:rRNA from 1 species